UAAACACAUGAACUCAGAAUUGGUGACAUACGACUGAAUUCUUUUUGAAUUCUUUUUGAAUUCUCUGUGCUUCCUGGAAAUCUAUCGGGCCAACUUUUUCUUUGAAAAAGUUCUCGCUACGAGCGGUGCGCGUUGUCGCACAUUUUAUCUCGGUGCGCGUGUCGAAGCAUAGAGAUCUUGCAGUCGUCUUAUUCCCGAAUACGUUAGAGAGCCGAGGUUCGAGGAAAUCGCAUCAGUCCGGGUCUACAAUAGAUGUGUAGUGAUUAGUGAACUUUUAACCUUAUACUCUGAACUCAAAACUGUGGCGUAAUUUUUGGUUAAAAAAGUUUUCCAUUGCUACCUGAAGUUAUAAUCUCUAAGCUUGCAACGAGUUGGUCAAAUUCUAAUCGUUAAAGCAGCUCAGAAAACGUUUUUUGCCAGAAAUUAUAAGCUUCAGUGCAUCAGGCUAAAGGCUUAUUACAUCAAUUGUUGACUCGGACUCGCACAACCCACCACCGGUCCCGGUUUUGGAAUUUGAGGCGUGAUUUUCAUACGCGCGCGAACGGCGAGUUGGCCACAAACGUGGAGGGUCAUGCUGAGCACGAAGGAGUCCGGCGCCGCAUAGCCGCACACUAACAUCAGCACUGCAAUCGUCUGAUAGGCGCACAAGCCUAAGUAGGUGGUCGUGUCCUGAAUCUCGAAGAAAGGAUAGGUCCGAUAUGGUAAUUCGUACGAAGCAUUACGAGAAGAUACUAUAUAAAAUAUAACAUAAGAAGAAAAGUAUGACAUAAGAAAAAAUAUAAGAUAUAAUACUUAUGAUGGAGAACAGUUGAAAAUGAAAAGAAGCUUUAAUGAAAAUCAUCAUCAUGAUAAACUACGGUCACAAAAAAUACCCGGAAAAUCCAAGACAAAAUGCGAAUAUAAUCUCUCUUCUCACUUUUUGGUGGAUUCGAAAAAUUUUUCGAGUUGGCUAUAAAAAGGAGUUGGAAGAGACCGACCUUUACGCUACACUUACACAGGACAAGGCUAGUUAUCUAGGAGAAAUUAUAAAUAAAGCUUGGCAAGCUGAAGUAAAGUCCUGUCAGAAAAAGGAUUUUGAUAGAUCAGAGAAGAAGGAUAUUUCGAAGCCGAAAUUAAUCAGAGCACUGGUACGCUGCUUUGGAAAACCAUAUUUGCUAGUCGGAAUAGCGCAAGCGAUCAUGGAAUUAUUUUCCAGAAUAUCUCAACCGUUGUUGCUCGCUACUUUGCUGCGUUACUUUGAAAAGAGCAAAGAAGAAUGGAGCGACGAGGUGUAUUACUGCGCGGCCGGUAUAAUUGUGCUGUCCAUCGUGGACACUUUUAUUACACAUUAUGCUGUAUAUUAUAUCUUGUAUUUAGGAUUAAAAAUCAAAGUCGCUUGCACCACACUCGUUUACCAAAAGAUAUUAAGACUCUCGAAUUCCGUGCUGCAUAAUGAAAUGUCCGUCGGACAGAUGAUGAAUUUUCUAAGCAGCGAUAUCACUAGGUUGGAAACAUCCCUGAUAGAUCUGCAUUACAUUUGGAUUGCUCCUAUUCAAAUGGUGAUGAUCCUAUAUUUUAUGUUUCCGUUGGUUAGAUGGUCAGGCAUGCUGGGGAUGUCGGUACUUUUGCUAUUUAUACCUUCACAAGUGUUCUUGGCACAAAAGAUUACAUCUUUGAUGCUUAAAACGGCAGAGAGGUCGGACUAUAGGCUUAGGCUGAUGAACCAAGUGAUUGCUGGGCUGCAGGUGAUAAAAAUGUACGUUUGGGAAAUUCCCUUCGCCAAUCUCGUGGAAAAGGCGAGAAGACGUGAGAUGAACAUAAUAAAAAAAUUCUCCAUUCUGAUACAGUUGUCUAUCACUUUCGAAUGCUACGUACCACGACUCUGUCUCUUCGUCACAAUAUUGUCGUAUGUCCUGUUUGGGAAUUUCAUCAAUGCUGAAAAAGUGUAUCUAGUAACAGCAUACUUCAACGUUUUACGAAACUCGAUGAUUAUUGGGUUCACAAUGGGUCUCCAGCAACUGGUACAGGUACUGGUGAGUUCACGUCGUUUAGAAAAAUUUAUGAUGCACGCCGAGAUCGUGAAAACUGCAAAGGAACCAUGCCAGAAGUCGACCAAAGAUCCGUUCGCGCUGCGCAUGAUUGAUGUCAAUGCCAAAUGGCAGGACGACGCUAAGGAGGACACGUUGUGCAAAAUAAAUUUAACUGUGCUCCCAGGGAGCUUCGUAGUCAUCGUUGGCCCGGUGGGUUCGGGUAAGAGUAGCUUGUUGCAAGCGAUACUCCAAGAACUACCGUUGGCAAGUGGAAGCAUCGAGAGUCACGGAAGGAUAAACUACGUCAGCCAACAGCCUUGGAUCUUCGCCUCAUCUGUCAAGCAAAACGUGCUAUUCGGUCAGGAGAUGGAUAAGUCGCGUUACGAUCGGGUGAUCAAGAUCUGCCAGAUGGAGUCAGACAUAAGUUCGUUCAGCCAUGGCGAUCGUACCAUCGUAGGCGAGAGAGGAAUAAAUCUUAGCGGAGGUCAACGUGCCAGGCUCAACCUGGCUCGGGCGAUCUACAAGGAUGCCGAUAUCUACUUGCUGGACGAUCCACUCUCCGCUGUGGAUUCCCAUGUCAGCAGACGUAUCGUCGAUGAAUGCCUCUGCGGCUUUUUGAAGGAGAAAACGAGAAUCCUGGUGACGCAUCAGUUACAAUAUCUACCAGUGGCCGAUCAGAUUAUCAUAAUGAAUAACGGCGAUAUCCAGCAAAAAGGUACAUUCAACGAACUGCAAGACAUGGGCCUUGACUUCAUGAAGCUAUUAAAGACGGUGGACGCGGAGGAUGAGGAGAUACAAAAGAAGAAAUCUGAGUUAACACAACGGCAGAUUUCGACGCGCGAGAUCAACACAAACGAGGACGCAGACUCGAUUGAUUCACCGGUUGAAACACGCGAAACAAUGGCGAAAGGUCGCAUGUCCAGCAGAGUGUUCUUCGCUUACUUCAAAGCGAGUAAGAGGCCCUACAUGAUCAUGCUGAUGAUGUUGGUCUUCUUGGUGAAUCAGAUAGUAUCCGGCGGUAGCGAUUACUUCAUCGCCUUCUGGGUGAACAUAGAAUCAAAUUCGUGGCAUAAGGACGACAAUGGUACGACAGAGUUUGUUUGGCAGGGUUCAUUGUCACGCGACUCCACAGUCUACGUCUAUAGCGCGAUGAUCGUGACCAUCAUACUGCUAUGUCAGUUCCAAACAUUCGUAUAUUUUAGCGUAUGCAUGUGGUCCUCGAUAAAUCUGCAUUCCAACAUGUUUCGUAGCAUAAUGCGGACCACCAUGUACUUUUAUCACACUAAUCCAGCUGGUCGCAUAUUAAACAGGUUUGCUAAGGAUAUCAAUAUCGUCGACUUAGUGCUGUCAAUGCACCUAUUUGACGUCAUAGUAAUCGGACUCGGAUCAAUCUCUGUAGUAGUAAUAGUCAUAGCGAUUACUCCAUGGUUAGCUGUACCUACUGUGGCUUGUGCUUGCAUCUUCAUCUUUUUGCGCACGAUAUAUAUCUCCACAAGUCGUGCUAUUAAACGUCUGGAAGGGACAACUCGCUCGCCAAUCUUUGAUCAUCUCAGUGCGUCUCUGCAAGGCUUGACGACGAUUAGAGCGUUCAACGCCGAGGAAAUAUUAGUGGCAGACUUAUGCAGACACCAGGAUCUCAAUUCGUCCGCCUGCUUCCUCUUCUUAGCUACUUCUCGAAGCUUCGGCUUCUAUAUCGACUUAAUAUGCCAACUUUACAUCGGCGUGAUAAUCACAGUUUUCACUGUGUUCGACGGCUUGGCUCCGGUGGGCAACAUCGGCCUGAUCCUCACGCAAAUCAUGUCGCUAACGGAAACGUUGCAGUCGGGAAUGCAACAACUAGCCCAACUAGAGAACGAUCUGACGUCGAUCGAAAGGAUUCUUGAAUACAGCAACUUGGAGGAAGAACCGAUGAUAGACAGCAGGCCGGAGACCAAGCCGUCGGCCGAUUGGCCGAUGAAGGGUCUCGUAGAGUUCAAGAACGUGAAGCUAAGAUACAGCCAUCAUGACGAUUACAUUCUGCGAAACAUCAGUUUCACUGUGUUGCCCGAGGAGAAAAUCGGUAUCGUCGGUAGAACCGGUGCGGGCAAGUCGUCCUUGAUCAACGCGCUCUUCCGUUUAGCUUGCGUCGAAGGAGAGAUUUUUAUGGAUGGCAUCUCCACCGGCGCAAUCGCUCUGCACGACUUCCGCUCGAAGAUCAGUAUUAUUCCUCAAGAACCGUUCCUCUUCACUGGCAGUCUGCGACAAAACCUGGACCCCUUUGAUCAGUAUUCUGACGCAGUGCUGUGGCAGGCGCUCGAAGACGUUGAACUGAAGGACACGAUCUCCGACUUGGCCGCAGGGCUGAACACCAAAGUCUCCGAUGAGGGAUCGAACUUCAGCGUCGGCCAAAGGCAGCUGCUGUGUCUCGCGCGUGCGAUUAUCAAGAACAAUCGGAUUAUGGUACUUGACGAGGCGACCGCCAAUAUCGAUCCUUACACGGAUUCUCUUAUCCAAAAAACAGUUAGGACGAAAUUUGUAAACUGCACUGUGUUCACUAUAGCUCAUCGGUUGAAUACUAUCAUGGACAGCGAUAGGAUAUUCGUGAUGGACCCUGGACAUCUCGUGGAAUUUGAUCAUCCUUAUAUACUCUUACAACGAAAAGGACGUUUUUACAACAUGGUACAGCAGACUGGUGCUGCGAUGGCCGGAAAUCUUAUGGAUAUAGCCGCGAAAAGUUUCUUUGAGAAACCAGCAUUUAGGUAAUCACAGCUAUUAAUUAGAUGCCAAAUUUUCUAAAACGUGGUUUUAUCAUUCUAUCGCAGACUCAUCGUGCGAUUCGUCGUAUUUGUGACCUACAUUUUGUGCACGAUCUCUACGCACAACUUUAGCUCGAAGAUCAGUGUUAUCCCUUGAGGUAGUUCGUCCGUGAAAAUAUUAUCAAAAAGUGACUAUCCGCUUUAUAUGCUAACAAAGGAACCGUCAGAAGUAUUCUUUAGUAAUUAAAAAUUUUAUAUUUGAGUACAAGCUGAAUAUAUUGUGUAUAGAGAGUAUAAAAUACUAUAUAUCUUCUGUUAUAAAAUGUUUUUUUAUGCAUCUCAUAUUCUCAACAAAAUUCGCUAAAAAUUAAGCAUUCCGUUAUUUUUAAAAAAUUAUUUUAUAACUUCUGAAUUUUGAAAGAAGCAUAAACAUUUAUUAUUAUACAGAUCUGUUAUUUCAGUGAAGGACUUUUCCGAUGGUUUCCCUAUAAGAUCGAAGUUAAUUGACUCGUCGAAUUCUGAUUUACAACCUUUAAACUUUAAUCUUUAAUACUUGGACGAUAAUCUAAAAGUAAUCUGACUUAAAAAAAAUUAAAAGUGAAAAAAAUAAGUAAAAAACUUAAAUAUAUCUUCAAUUUAUUUACCGCGAUAUCCGUUUCUCGCUCGAUUUCAUCGA